rnacentral:rRNA from 1 species
UACGGAGGGUGCAAGCGUUAUCCGGAUUCACUGGGUUUAAAGGGUGCGUAGGUGGGCAGGUAAGUCAGUGGUGAAAUCUCCGGGCUUAACCCGGGAAACUGCCAUUGAUACUAUCUGUCUUGAAUACCGUGGAGGUGAGCGGAAUAUGUCAUGUAGCGGUGAAAAUUGCUUUAGAUAUGACAUAGAACACCAAUUUGCGAAGGCAGCUCACUACGCGAAUAUUGACACUGAGGCACGAAAGCGUGGGGGAUCAAACAGGG